rnacentral:rRNA from 1 species
UACGUAGGGUGCAAGCAUUAAUCGGAAUUAUUGGGCGUAAAGGGCGCGUAGGCGGAUUUAUAAGUCAGAUGUGAAAUUCCAAAGCUCACCUUUGGAACGGCAUCUGAUACUGUAAGUCUAUGAGGAUUGGCGGAGAAAAUGGAAUUCCACAUGUAGCGGUGAAAUGCGUGGAUAUGUGGAGGAACACCAGUGGCGAAAGCGGUUUUCUAGCUUUUACCUGACGCUGAGGCGCGAGAGCAAGGGGAGCAAACAGG